rnacentral:lncRNA from 1 species
AGCAAGCAGCAGCAUUGUCCUCCAUUUAAACACUGACAUGUAGGACUGAUUGAGAUUGACAAGAAGAUGUCCUGUCCAGCCUCCCUAAACUGCAGGUGCACGUAGAACAGCUUUCUUUCUUCCCUCUUGUCUUCCUCCUUGAACCUGCAGCCACAGCCUGCAUGGAGAUGAGCAGUUCAGCUGCAUUGUGGAAUCCUUACUUUAUUUGGUAAGCUGCAAUUCAGUCUCUUUCUUUAGCAGAAAAAGUCUGACAACCCCUGAGCUGGACAAUGGAACAACAAAUUGAAACCUGAUUUUUAGCGUUGGCCAACUUCACUGCUGUAAAUGCUCUCAUCAUGACCAAUUUCAAGCUACCAGUGUGAAGUUGCUGAAGGUGGAGUGGGAAGAGACAUGCAGAAGCAUACCACUAUAUAGUAUUUCUACCAUACUGAUGUAAUAGCCACCAAUGCCUCAAAAACAG